AUAUAGGACUGACUUGAGAUGACAUCCGGAUUGAGCAAAAAAGGGAAUAAGAUGAUUAAGACUCAAACUCAGGAGGAACUAAGGCAGUGGAAGAACUCAGAACAUGUGAAAUUCCUUAAAUAAAAGUUUAUUAACUUUAAAUAAUUGUGCCUAUGUUACAAAUAAUAAAAGUCCUUCAUACUUUUUGUA